rnacentral:antisense_RNA from 1 species
AGGCAUGACAUUGCUCACAUUGCUUCCAGUGUUUUUUUAUAGCCAGCAUGGGUGCUGGCUUUUUUUU